UAUAGUAUAUAGUACAUGGUUAUAUUUCAUAUUCAAUAAGAUAUAAAACGAAGAAAGGUAUUAAAAGUAAAUAAAUAAACAAAUAAAUAAACACGGACAUUCACACCAAAUAUUACUUAUCUCGUGCGAAUACCUUUUUGUAGAUUAUCGUUACGUCAUUUGAAAGAUCCAAAAACAGAUUCGCCUACGUCAAAUAAAUUCUCCUUGUGUCGUCACGUAUCUUUCGUGAUUAGAGUCAUGAUGAUAAGAGAGAGAGAGAGAGAGAGAGAGAGAGAGAGAAAAAGAGAGAGACGACGUUUAUUUUUCGCAUCAUUGAUUGUGCGAAAUACGUCACGGACACCUGUGAUCACUUUAAGGCAUCAUAAUAAAUCUAAAGAACAUAAGACGCUACCGAAGGUAUUACGAGAUACAUAUGUACGUUAAGAGAUUAGGAUUGUAAAGA